rnacentral:rRNA from 1 species
CCUACGGGAGGCAGCAGUGGGGAAUAUUGCACAAUGGGGGAAACCCUGAUGCAGCGACGCCGCGUGAGUGAAGCAGUAUUUCGGUAUGUAAAGCUCUAUCAGCAGGGAAGAAAAUGACGGUACCUGAAUAAGAAGCACCGGCUAACUACGUGCCAGCAGCCGCGGUAAUACGUAGGGGGCAAGCGUUAUCCGGAUUUACUGGGUGUAAAGGGAGCGUAGACGGCAGCGCAAGUCUGAUGUGAAAUGCAGGGGCUUAACCCCGGAACUGCUUUGGAAACUGUGCAGCUAGAGUGCAGGAGAGGUAAGUGGAAUUCCUGGUGUAGCGGUGAAAUGCGUAGAUAUUAGGAGGAACACCAGUGGCGAAGGCGGCUUACUGGACUGUAACUGACGUUGAGGCUCGAAAGCGUGGGGAGCAAACAGGAUUAGAUACCCUGGUAGUC